UACGUAGGGGGCUAGCGUUGUCCGGAAUCAUUGGGCGUAAAGCGCGCGUAGGCGGCCCGGUAAGUCUGCUGUGAAAGUCAAAGGCUCAACCUUUGAAUGUCAGCGGAUACUGCCGGGCUAGAGUCCGGAAGAGGCGAGUGGAAUUCCUGGUGUAGCGGUGGAAUGCGCAGAUAUCAGGAGGAACACCGGUGGUGUAGACGGCUUACUGGACCACGACUGACACUGAGGCACGGAAAGCGUGGGUAGCAAACAGGG
rnacentral:rRNA from 1 species